UGGGGAAUUUUGGACAAUUGGGCGAAAGCCUGAUCCAGCAAUGCCGCGUGUGUGAAGAAGGCCUUCGGGUUGUAAAGCACUUUUGUCCGGAAAGAAAUCCUUGGCUCUAAUACAGUCGGGGGAUGACGGUACCGGAAGAAUAAGCACCGGCUAACUACGUGCCAGCAGCCGCGGUAAUACGUAGGGUGCAAGCGUUAAUCGGAAUUACUGGGCGUAAAGCGUGCGCAGGCGGUUUGCUAAGACCGAUGUGAAAUCCCCGGGCUCAACCUGGGAACUGCAUUGGUGACUGGCAGGCUAGAGUAUGGCAGAGGGGGGUAGAAUUCCACGUGUAGCAGUGAAAUGCGUAGAGAUGUGGAGGAAUACCGAUGGUGAAGGCAGCCCCCUGGGCCAAUACUGACGCUCAUGCACGAAAGCGUGGGGGAGCAAACAGGAUUAGAUACCCCUGGUAGUCCACGCCCCUAAAACGAUGUCAACUAGUUGUUGGGGAUUCAUUUCCUUAGUAACGUAGCUAACGCGUGAAGUUGACCGCCUGGGGAGUAC
rnacentral:rRNA from 1 species